rnacentral:lncRNA from 1 species
AUUGCAUCUAGUGUUGAUGGGACGUGUUGGCAGCUUGGUAUGGAUAGCAUUGGGAGUUAGUAACAUGCUGGAAGGUAGCAGUAAAUAGACUUUCGGUAGCAUCCAGAGUGUAGGGUAGCAAUGCUUUUAUUUUUAGUUUUUAUUGAGUGAAGAGCUGCCACGUCGUGCUCAAGGGCUGCAGACUUUAUGCGUUUGUUUAUUUAUUUGGGAGCAUGAGAAGAGAACACUUACUUCAAGUUGAGAAGGGUGAUGUUACGUCUUUGGAAUGNAGAGCAUUUUAAUUAUCAAUCAUUUGGCUGCCACCUCCAGUUCUUAAUAUUGGGAGUUGCGUUUUCAAUUUAUGAAGAACAAAGCAUUCGGNGCUUCAUAUAGAAAUGGAUAUUUUGCUUGGAAUUUGGGUGAACACGUACGCUACAGCUAACGCCCAAAAAUAGGAGGGUUGCACUUUAUUAUUUGGAAUAUGCAUUCAGCUCAAG